rnacentral:rRNA from 1 species
UUAAGCAUAUCAAUAAGCGGAGGAAAAGAAACCAACAGGGAUUACCUCAGUAACGGCGAGUGAAGCGGUAACAGCUCAAAUUUGAAAGCUAGCUCUUCUAGGGUUCGCAUUGUAAUUUGUAGAAGAUGCUUCGGGUGUGGCCCCGGUCUAAGUUCCUUGGAACAGGACGUCAUAGAGGGUGAGAAUCCCGUAUGUGACUGGGUGCUUUCGCUCAUGUGAAGCUCUUUCGACGAGUCGAGUUGUUUGGGAAUGCAGCUCAAAAUGGGUGGUAAAUUUCAUCUAAAGCUAAAUAUUGGCCAGAGACCGAUAGCGCACAAGUAGAGUGAUCGAAAGAUGAAAAGCACUUUGGAAAGAGAGUUAAACAGUACGUGAAAUUGUUGAAAGGGAAGCGCUUGCAACCAGACUUGCGCGCUGAUGAUCAUCCGGGCUUCUGCCCGGUGCACUCGUCUGCGCUCAGGCCAGCAUCGGUUUCGGUGGUGGGAUAAAGGCCUUGGGAAUGUAGCUUCUUUCGGGGAGUGUUAUAGCCCUCGGUGCAAUGCCGCCUACCGGGACCGAGGACCGCGCUUCGGCUAGGAUGCUGGCGUAAUGGUUGUAAGCGACCCGUCUUGAAACACGGACCAAGGAGUCUAACAUCUAUGCGAGUGUUUGGGUGUCAAACCCAUACGCGUAAUGAAAGUGAACGGAGGUGAGAACCCUUAAGGGUGCAUCAUCGACCGAUCCUGAUGUCUUCGGAUGGAUUUGAGUAAGAGCAUAGCUGUUGGGACCCGAAAGAUGGUGAACUAUGCGUGAAUAGGGUGAAGCCAGAGGAAACUCUGGUGGAGGCUCGCAGCGGUU